rnacentral:rRNA from 1 species
UACAGAGGGGGCCAGCGUUAUUCGGAAUUACUGGGCGUAAAGUGUGCGCAGGCGGCGCCGCAAGUCGAGUGUGAAAGCCCCGGGCUUAACUUGGGAAUUGCGCUCGAAACUAUGGUGUUGGAGUGUGGCAGAGGAAGGUGGAAUUCCACGUGUAGCGGUGAAAUGCGUAGAGAUGUGGAGGAACACCGAUGGCGAAGGCAGCCUUCUGGGCCAACACUGACGCUCAUGCACGAAAGCGUGGGGAGCAAACAGG